rnacentral:rRNA from 1 species
AAUAUUGGACAAUGGGGGCAACCCUGAUCCAGCCAUGCCGCGUGUGUGAAGAAGGUCUUCGGAUUGUAAAGCACUUUACGUUGGGAGGAAGGGCUUUAGGUUAAUACCCUGAAGUUUUGAGGUUACCAACAGAAUAAGCACCGGCUAACUCUGUGCCAGCAUCCGCGGUUAUACAGAGGGUGCAAGCUUUAAUCGGAAUUACUGGGCGUAAAGCGCGAGUAGGUGGUUCAGUAAGAUGGGUGGAAAGUCCCCGGGCUUAACCUGGGAACUGCUUUCAAAACUGCUGAGCUAGAGUACGGUAGAGGGUAGUGGAAUUUCCUGUGUAGCGGUGAAAUGCGUGGAUAUAGGAAGGAACACCAGUGGCGAAGGCGACUACCUGGACUGAUACUGACACUGAGGUGCGAAAGCGUGGGGAGCAAACA